GCCAUAGCUGAAUGCAUCUAGAUCGCUGACAUGGUCGUGUUUGAGGAUUAGAUAGGAAUGCAAAUCCAAUGUUUGCAAUGAGGUCUUACACACACCUUGAUCAAACGAUGGACACAACACCACAUGUCUUAAUCCUGUCGUCCCGGGCCUUUAGAUACUUAAGCUCAAAUUUUGCAUUUGUUUUGUUUUUUCAUCUUUACUUUUGUCGAACGCCCUCUCUCUUUCUUCCCUCUUCUCACAUUCUCCCUGUUCUCUCUGUUAUUCCAUCGAGUUCCUUUUGAGCUUUCUGAAGCUCCACUCAAAACCAUGGAUCUCUCUCACCCUUCUCUCACCCUCUCUGAUCCUCUCCUCUCUUGUCUCUCUUCUUUCUUUCUCACCCUCUGUUUCUCUGUCUUCUCCUAAUCCCCUCUCGGCUUCUUUUUUUCUUUCUUCCUUUCUAAUUUCAGACUUCAAAAGACCUGAUCAGCUUUCUUCUAUGCUUCUCUCAAAUUCUCUCAAACCUCCUGUAGCCAUUUGAGGCCCCAGACCGAAGGUCACACCCUGAAUACCAUAGAGUGUUCCCAGGAGCAGGGUUGAACAUGGGUACAACUAAUCAAACCAUUGAAGACCUAACCAAGCUAAGUGUUCCUUAUCCCCCCUUUUCAUUUUCAGUCUUUGUUUUUGUUUUUUGUUCUUAUUGUGAAAAAUACUGGUGAUGUUUCGGCUGUGUCAUGUAUGUUGAUGGUGAGAUGUUAGGGUUUCAAGUGGACUAGUGGGGUCGAAGACGAGUGACUCGGUGAGUGUGUGAGUUAAACCAGGGUUAACUCGUGCAAGUCAACCUGGGUGAGUUAAGUGAGCUCGAGUGAGUUUCAGUGGGCCUAACAAGGUGAGGCUUGCAUGUGUCUGGGUCACACGUGGGCCUUUAGGGGUUGCUGAUAAUCAUAGACUUGGGCGAGUUGGCUCUUGAAAUGGGCCAAAGUUAAAAAAAAUGGGCCGGCCCAAUUUAACUUAUAAAACAGAGGCCCCUUGAGAUUUUGAAAAAAAAAAAUGAGCUGGCCCAAAUUAACUUUUAAAAUAGGAGCCUGUUGAGAUUUUGAGAAAAAAAAAAAAUGGGCCGGUUUUAUUUUUCAAAACAGGAUUGGCCCAACUCAAUUUAAAACAUCAGGGUCUGUAAUCCUCCUUUUCUAAAACAAGGUCGGCCCACUUACAAGGCCCGGGUUAGGUUUUGAAGUGGGCUAAGGGUUUUACUCCAAAUGGGGCUCCGGGUUUGGGAUUUUAGAUUGGGUUGGCCUGGUUAUCUGGUUCAGGUUUGGGUCAUAGCCCCAGGUUCGGGUUUGACAAUCUGGUUUAAAGGAUUCAGGUAUUUUGUGGGUGUUUAAAGGGUUCGAACCCGAGUUCGGGUUCGGGUCAGGUGUUCGGAUCUGAGCUUUGUGGAAUGGUCUAAUCUCAAACCCAUUUCAGGUUUAAGUAUAAACCUGCAAUCCUAGAAGAUUUCUCUACAUUCAAAUUCACAUGCAUGACUUAAUUGAAACAGAAAUGAGGGCUUCAAAUUUUACCUUCCUUUCUCCUCUCCUCCUGUCUUCUUUGCUUCCCCGCUUCUUUCCGUAUCUUCCUAGAUAUCUAGUGGGGAACCGGCUCCUCAGUUUUGGACUCUAGACUCAGAAUAAGAUGACACCACAGGGUGUCCUAUGUAUUCUGAAUAGUGUGGUAUGCUCGAAAUGCAACCUCGACCGCUCUGUGGACUACAGAGCUUUCUGAAUUUAGUGACCCUCUCUCUGACUCUCUGGUUUGCACAAGUCUCUCCCUAGUUCUACAAAAUUGCUCUGCUACUCUUUCUUCUUUCUAAACUGGCAGAACCUCCCCUCUCUUCUAAAUUUUUUUCUCUCUUAAUUUUCACAGAGUACUCUUGUGCUCUCUUCCCCCCACCCCCCCUCCCCCCUCGGAGGUCUUUGCUACAGUGAGACUCCCUAUUUAUAGGGAGUCUGGGGUGGCCUUUAGCGCCAAUUUCCUCUGCAAUAUUCCCUUCUAAAGAACUGUGUCAAGGAAUGAUUCUUUAUUCUCUGCACAUGUGAUUUCUUUUCUCCUUUUUUGAUUUUACGCAUUUUUGGUUAAUUAAUUGCCCUCACUUUUGUACGCAGGUGAUCUUGGCCAAGUGGCAAUCCAGGACUGGCGAGCUUUUCAGGCUACUCCAACCUAGCAAACUCAGAUUGGAGGAUCAGGCAUUUUAGUUUCAGUUUUUAGUUUUUAUUUCUUUUAAUUUUCCUUUUUGCCUUUGUGUUUCCUUUUGUUUGCUGAUGUUACCCCGAGUAAAAUUUCCUACAACAUUUAUUUGUACACUUUACUAGUGUUCUACAAUUGGAAACCUACAUAUAUUACUUCCCUACACCCCACAUGUAUUAUUUGCCUGAGUGUAUCACUUUUGUAUGUGCUCCCUCUGAAUCGAAUUGUGACGCAUGCACUUUUUAGUUUGUAUCACUCCCGCACGUGCUCCCUUCGAAUCAAACUGUGAUGCAUGCAUUUAUCUAUUUUUUAAUAAAACGUGGCCUUAAGUUGUUUUUGAAUUUUGACCAGCAACCCCAACUUCACUAUUGACUUUUCCAAAAGAAAACCCUAGUUAUAAAAAUGACCUUUGAGACUCAAUUAAAAACUUGAUUCAAAAAUUGAGAGACUUACUCUGAAAUUUGUUAGACUUAGUUUAGAAACUCAAUUUAAACAUUUAACAAAAAAUUCAUAUCAAAAGUUUGACUAACUCGCUUAAGAAUGACUCACUUAAAGAAUUCCCAAACCCAAAUUAAAAAAAAAAAUGGGUAUUUUCAAAAUAAGAGGGCAACAUUUAAAGCUCAAUGGACUUGGUUUCAAAUUUUUGAAUAUUUUAAUUAUUGGGACUCAAUUUUGAAAACCUAAUAAAAGAAGACUAGUUUAACUAAAUUUGAAGAAACGUGGCUCAAAAGGACUCAAUUUUUGAGUUUUUUAAAGACUUGAUGUAAGAACCCGACUCUUGAUAAUGGUUUUUAAAUAUUUAAAGAGAAGGGCAUUUUGGUAAAAGAGCAUGCCUCGUCAACAAAGCUAGAUUUCAUCGACGAAGUCUUAGUCCUUCUCGUCGACGAAAUUCAGGGGCUCGUCGACAAGGAAAUGCCAAGGGUUCUGGAGAAAUUGAAAUAUCAGUCUCGUCAACGAGGCCACCAUCUCGUUGACAAAGCCAAUGGCGGACUCUUCGACGAGGACGCCAAUUCGUCGACGAAUCCACCCAGGUCAAAGGCUCUUUAAAAGGAUAUUUUGAAUUGCUUAGUAGUGAAGUAGUGGUUUCUCUCUCUCUCUCUCUCUCUCUCUCUAGGAACUUAGGAUUCACUCUCUCUCUCUAGAUUUCUUCACUGAUCGUUGCUGGAAUCGGGAAUCUGAAGUUACCACAAGGAUUGUGGAUGGAUUCUCUACAAGUUCUACGGAUCGGAAUCCCAUUUCGGAGAUUUUUGGGUUUGGGCGUAAAAUCGAGGUUUUGGAACUCAGUUCGCUGUUUAGGGGCCUUGGAGUUUGGGAUUUGCUAUUCGAGGAAAAGGUCCUUUGAGUAACCAGAACUAGCAUCCUGGUGUAGGGAGCGUAGUGGCCUGCGUACUGCGGUUAGUGCUUGGGUCCUUCGAGUAACCAAUUCUAACGUCCUGGUGUAGAAAGCGUAGUGGCCGGCGUACUGCAGUUAGCGCUCAGGUAAGUGCUAGGACUGUAUUUUUGGUGGGUUGCCAUUUUGAGAUGUGUUUAGGCACUUAUUUGUAAGUUUUUUAUAGAGCUGUAUUCUGCUCUUGUAUAGACUCUGGUAUGGUACUGUAUAAAUAUAUAUAUAUAUAUAUAGAAUGACCUUUUCCGC